rnacentral:hammerhead_ribozyme from 1 species
AUCCAGCUAACGAGUUCGAAAUAGAACGAAACGCGCAUCCUGGAU